UACGUAGGGAGCAAGCGUUGUUCGGAUUUACUGGGCGUAAAGGGCGCGUAGGCGGCGCGGCAAGUCACUUGUGAAAUCUCUGAGCUUAACUCAGAACGGCCAAGUGAUACUGCAGUGCUAGAGUGCAGAAGGGGCAAUCGGAAUUCUUGGUGUAGCGGUGAAAUGCGUAGAUAUCAAGAGGAACACCUGAGGUGAAGACGGGUUGCUAGGCUGACACUGACGCUGAGGCGCGAAAGCCAGGGGAGCAAACGGG
rnacentral:rRNA from 1 species